rnacentral:rRNA from 1 species
CGGACGGGUGAGUAACGCGUGAGGAACCUGCCUUUCAGAGGGGGACAACAGUUGGAAACGACUGCUAACACCGCAUGACGCAUAGAGGUCGCAUGGCCUUUAUGCCAAAAGAUUUAUCGCUGAAAAGAUGGCCUCGCGUCUGAUUAGCUAGUUGGUGAGGUAACGGCCACCAAGGCGACGAUCAGUAGCCGGACUGAGAGGUUGAACGGCCACAUUGGGACUGAGAUACGGCCCAGACUCCUACGGGAGGCAGCAGUGGGAAUAUUGGGCAAUGGGCGCAAAGCCUGACCCAGCAACGCCGCGUGAAGGAAGAAGGCUUUCGGGUUGUAAACUUCUUUUGUCGGGGACGAGUAGAAGACGGUACCUGACGAAUAAGCCACGGCUAACUACGUGCCAGCCGCUGC